UACGUAGGGUGCAAGCGUUGUCCGGAAUUAUUGGGCGUAAAGGGCGCGUAGGCGGCCAACUAAGUCAGACGUGAAAUCCCUCGGCUCAACCGGGGAACUGCGUCUGAUACUGGAUGGCUUGAAUUCGGGAGAGGGAUGCGGAAUUCCAGGUGUAGCGGUGAAAUGCGUAGAUAUCUGGAGGAAUACCGGUGGCGAAGGCGGCAUCCUGGACCGGCAUUGACGCUGAUGAGCGAAAGCUAGGGGAGCAAACGGG
rnacentral:rRNA from 1 species